rnacentral:rRNA from 1 species
UACGUAGGGGGCAAGCGUUGUCCGGAAUUAUUGGGCGUAAAGCGCGUGUAGGCGGCUCGGUAAGUCUGCUGUGAAAGUCCAAGGCUCAACCCUGGAAGGCCGGUGGAAACUGUCGGGCUAGAGUCCGGAAGAGGCGAGUGGAAUUCCCGGUGUAGCGGUGAAAUGCGCAGAUAUCGGGAGGAACACCAAUGGCGAAGGCAGCUCGCUGGGACGGUACUGACGCUGAGACGCGAAAGCGUGGGGAGCAAACAGG